rnacentral:rRNA from 1 species
GAAACUGAGGCUAAUACCGGAUAGGCAAUUUUUCCUGUAAUGGUUUUUUGUUUAAAUGUUUUUUCGCCUAAGGAUGGGUCUGCGGCCGAUUAGGUAGUUGGUUAGGUAAUGGCUUACCAAGCCGUUGAUCGGUACGGGUUGUGAGAGCAAGAGCCCGGAGAUGGAACCUGAGACAAGGUUCCAGGCCCUACGGGGUGCAGCAGGCGCGAACCCUCCGCAAUGUGAGAAAUCGCGACGGGGGGAUCCCAAGUGCCAUUCUUAACGGGAUGGCUUUUCAUUAGUGUAAAGAGCUUUUGGAAUAAGAGCUGGGCAAGACCGGUGCCAGCCGCCGCGGUAACACCGGCAGCUCUAGUGGUAGCAAUUUUUAUUGGGCCUAAAGCGUCCGUAGCCGGUUUAAUAAGUCUCUGGUGAAAUCCUGUAGCUUAACUGUGGGAAUUGCUGGAGAUACUAUUAGACUUGAGACCGGGAGAGGUUGGAGGUACUCCCAGGGUAGAGGUGAAAUUCUGUAAUCCUGGGAGGACCGCCUGUUGCGAAGGCGUCUAACUGGAACGGUUCUGACGGUGAGGGACGAAAGUUAGGGGCGCGAACCGGAUUAGAUACCCGGGUAGUCCUAACUGUAAACGAUGCGGACUUGGUGUUGGGGUGGCUUUGAGCUGCUCCAGUGCCGAAGGGAAGCUGUUAAGUCCGCCGCCUGGGAAGUACGGUCGCAAGACUGAAACUUAA